rnacentral:rRNA from 1 species
UAGUAGGUGAUAGUCCUGUAUUCGAAACAUUAGCGUUAACAUAUUAAGUAGAGCGGGGCACGAGAAAUCCUGUUUGAAGAUGGGGGGACCAUCCUCCAAGGCUAAAUACUCCUGACUGACCGAUAGUGAACCAGUACCGUGAGGGAAAGGCGAAAAGAACCCCUGUGAGGGGAGUGAAAUAGAACCUGAAACCGUGUGCGUACAAGCAGUGGGAGCCCACUUGUUGGGUGACCGCGUACCUUUUGUAUAAUGGGUCAGCGACUUAUAUUCUGUAGCAAGGUUAACCGUUUAGGGGAGCCGUAGGGAAACCGAGUCUUAAUAGGGCGACUAGUUGCAGGGUAUAGACCCGAAACCGAGUGAUCUAUCCAUGAGCAGGUUGAAAGUGCCGUAACAGGCACCGGAGGACCGAACCCACUGUCGUUGAAAAGCCAGGGGAUGACUUGUGGAUAGGGGUGAAAGGCUAAUCAAACUCGGUGAUAGCUGGUUCUCCCCGAAAGCUAUUUAGGUAGCGCCUCGGACGAACACCAUUGGGGGUAGAGCACUGUUUCGGCUAGGGGGUCAUACCGACUUACCAAACCGAUGCAAACUCCGAAUACCGAUGAGUGAUAUCCGGGAGACACACGG